GGGCUUGCGUGAUGCAAAAAACACACGGAAACGUGCGACACCGCACAUAAUCACGUGACACAAAGUACCUUCAUUCGUCAGCCGAACCAUCCCCGUAUGUGUGCUUUUCGCCGUCGAUUGAAGGUGAGUCAGUGAUGCAAAAGCACAUCUUACUUUCGCCUACGCAAAUAUCAAAGUUUACACGAAGCGCUAUCAAGUCUGCUCCGAGAUAGCGCCAAACUUCCCAACUUGAAAAAAGACCAGAAACGGUUAGCUAAUGCGCGUGCGUCAACAGUAUGUAUACUAAGUGGAAUGGAAGGCAAUUAAUGCAACAUAGUCAUGUGCUGACAUAGCACUCAGAGAAAAGAGAGGAUGAGUUGAGAUCAAAGGAUAAGUGGACAUUACAGUUUUGUGGUGUUCUUCUAUUUGCUGCUGCCUACUUUGAUGCCGAUCGAAGACAAAUGUGUACAUGUUGUUACUCUGAUUAAUUAAUCUAUAGGAAGGAAACAACGAAUACGAAAAGACAAUUACAUUAGUAAAAUGAUUUAUACUAGUCAUGCAUAUUCAGUUGUAUGUAUUUGUCAUCCAAAAUGACCAGUUUGGCUGGUUAUGGAUCUAAUGGUAUGUGAAAGUUGCUUCAUUUUGGAGUUUCAAAGUAAGUACAGUAUAAUUUUAAUAAUAAUGAACCAUAGAUUGUAAUAGAAACUACACGGUUGCAAUAAUUGCUACUAGAGAUCUUAAUUAAUUAGCAGCCAAGCCAUGCAGUGGUGUACAGUUAAUAAGUUUUAAUUAAUAAGGCAGUCAAUCUAGUUGAUAGAAUGAGGUACGUGGGAAAGGCGUUGUGCACGUUUGCUAUUUCUUUAGCUUUGCUCUGGAAGUUUCAAGUUUCGAUAU